rnacentral:rRNA from 1 species
AGGAUGAACGCUGGCGGUCUGCUUAACACAUGCAAGUCGAACGGAGUAGAAAUACUUAGUGGCGGACGGGUGAGUAACGCGUGAGAAUCUACCUUCAGGACGGAGACAACAGUUGGAAACGACUGCUAACCCCCGAUGUACUGAAAAGGCAAAUAUUUAUAGCCUGAAGAAGAGCUCGCGUCCGAUUAGCUAGUUGGAGAGGUAAAAGCUCACCAAGGCGACGAUCGGUAGCUGGUCUGAGAGUACGAUCAGCCACACUGGGACUGAGACACGGCCCAGACUCCUACGGGAGGCAGCAGUCGGGAAUUUUGCUCAAUGGGCGCAAGCCUGAAGCAGCAACGCCGCGUGAGGGAUGAAGGCCUUCGGGUUGUAAACCUCUUUUAUCAGGGACGAUUAUGACGGUACCUGAUGAAUAAGCCACGGCUAACUACGUGCCAGCAGCCGC